CCACCGCACGUAUCCCCUAAACACCUUGCGAUGUGACUUAGGCCAGAAAAAGAAAUUAAAUCGAUCAAAAUUCGGUUGACCUCUCCUGUGGUUUUACCGUAUUGCGCUGCUAUCUAGGGUUAAUUGAUGAGAACCCGAAAUGCUGACCCUGCGAAAUCAACGGUCACCAGGAAGACGCUGCCGGUGAGGAAAGCUGUUGGUAAAGUUCAUUCUCCAACCUCAUCGGAAUCUCUGACAUCUAAAAUCGUGGAAACAAAGCGCGGUUCUGUCGGCAAAGCAAAGGCCAACGACACGACACCUCCACAACAUACUACGAGUUCUGAUUCCAAGUCUGAUAAAUUGCCGGUUGAUGAAGUGACAGCAUUAGCUGAAACUGCCACAAUGAACCUAGUGAAAAAAGCAGCCGUUCCAGGCACUAGGCCAGGAGCAAAGAAGAAGCUAGUGAAGACUAAAACCCAGGAUUCUCAGCAAGCUGUGAAGGCAAGAACAGAAGAAUUUAGUGUUGAAAACAUUGGAGAACCUAUAAAGCAGGAAGAAAACAUAGUGGAAGUGGAAGAACCUGCUGUUGCAAAUGUCAUAGAAGGCUCACAAGAGGAGGGAACUGCAGCCAAAGAUGAUGAGGAAUCAGUUAAGCAGGUAAAAACAUCAGUGGAAGAAGAUGCUAGUAAGCAUGUUGGGGAUUCUGUGAAGAAAAAAGAACUUGUUAGGGAGUUUGCAAAAUUUAAUGAAAAUAAAAAACUCAGCUUUUACAACAAUGAACAGCAAGGGGAUUUUGUGAAGCAAAAAGAUCCAGUUGCUCUGGGGCUUGCAAAAUCCAAUGUUAGGGAAAAAGUGAGCAUUCAAAAUAAACUAGAGGAUGUGGAGGAGGACCUGGAGGAGGAUGAUGAAAUAGAAACUCUCGAUGACAGUCAGGAGCCCAAGAUUGGGCUUAUUGACAAGGAUGAAAACGUGAAAGCCAAGCUGCUGGUAGAAGAUGCUGAACCUGAACAGGAUGAGUAUGGUGGUUAUGAGAUGUUUGAAGACUACGGUGAUCAAGUAGACUAUGGAGAUCAUGAGGAGGAAGAGAUUGCAGAGGAUGAUAUAGAGGAGCCUGCUGAAGAAGCUGAGACACUGGAGGAUGAAAACAGGGAAUUGAAAGCAAUUGCAAGAGACCGUAGGAUUAAGAAGGAGCAUGAGAUAUUUGUUGGUGGUUUAGAUCGUGAUGCUACGGAGGAGGAUGUGAGGAAGGUUUUUGAGAGGAUUGGAGAAAUAGCUGAAGUUCGGUUACACAAGAAUUUUGCAACAAAUAAGAAUAAGGGUUAUGCAUUUGUGAAGUUUGCAAACAAGCUGCAUGCACAGCGGGCUUUGUCUGAGAUGAAAAACCCUGUGAUUUGUGGAAAGCGAUGUGGGACUGCACCAAGUGAGGACAACGAUACGUUGUUCGUGGGAAAUAUCUGCAAUACUUGGACCAAGGAGGCUAUUAAACAAAAGUUGAAAGAGUAUGGUGUUGAAGGUGUUGAGAACGUUACUCUUGUUUCAGAUGCUCAGCAUGAGGGGUUGAGUCGUGGUUUUGCAUUUGUUGAGUUUUCUUGUCAUGUUGAUGCCAUGGCUGCAUAUAAGAGGCUUCAGAAGCCUGAUGUUGUGUUUGGCCACCCUGAGAGAACUGUCAAAGUUGCUUUUGCUGAACCUUUGAGGGAACCUGAUCCGAUAAUAAUGGCUCAGGUGAAGACAGUAUUUCUUGAUGGGGUUCCUCCUCACUGGAAUGAAGACCAAGUUAAGGGGCAGAUACAAGGGUUUGGGGAGAUUGUACGCAUUGUCCUGGCCCGGAAUAUGUCGACCGCUAAAAGGAAAGAUUAUGGUUUUGUUGAUUUCUCAACCCAUGAAGCUGCUGUUACUUGCAUCAAUGGCAUAAAUAAUAAAGAAGUGGUUGAUGGCAACUCCCUGGUAAAACUGAAAGCAAGGCUGUCAAAUCCCAUGCCAAAAACUCAAGCAGUGAAGGGUGGAAUGUGUGGUGGAUAUCGAAUUGGUCAUGGUGGCAGUGGAGCCGUUUCCAGAUAUGGAAGAAGUUUUGGUCAGGGUGGACAUCACUUCAACCGGGUGAAUUUCCAACGGGGCAGGGGUUUCUAUCAACGUGGACGCGGACAAUUUCGUAGAAUAGGUCCCAAUGACUAUGGCCUUGAUAACCGAUACACAGAAUUUCGUGGGAGGCCAUUUAUGGGACGAGGAGGAAGAAGGGGUUCUUUCAGAGGUGGUCAUUAUACAUCUGGUAGAGCAAUGGCAGCAGCUGGCCCAUCAAGGCCUAAUUCCAGUAGGCAUUGGCUUGAUGUCCCCGAUAGAGGACAUGGGGAUCAUUUUUCCUAUAGGAGGCAACCAUUUUCUCCAGAUGAAGAUUUUGAUAGACGUUAUAUUGAAAGACAUGUUAUUGACCCUUAUAAUUAUGAUGACUGUGCACAUGGUGUGAAGAGACCAUUUUAUGCAGUAGACCAUGAUCCUGAUUAUAUGGGAUCAAGUAGACUCCGCCGACGGCUGGACUAUAAUGAUCCUGCAGUUUCACUUCGUGGAAAUUAUUACCAUGAUGAUUAUGGAGCUGGCAGUGGUCUCUACUCGGAUGAUUAUUAUGUUUCUGAUUAUGGUGCAUAUCCACCUUAUUAUGGGGAUGAUCACUCAUAUGGAGGUGGUUAUUACUACUAGACUCAAGAACCUUGGGUUGGCUUGCAAAUGCUGGUUGCUGGGCUUGCUGCUAAAAUAUAUGACCUCUCUGUAAGCAGGUCUAUGCGCGUAAGCAUAGGGAUGCCAGUUGGGAAUACUGACUGGGUGAGGUGAGAAAAUUAAUUACUGCUGGAGACCACGUGGAAGGCAAGGACAGGCUAAAGGAGUAUGUCCAGGUUGAUUGAGGUAGGGAAGUAAGUAGUGUGGUGUGUGGAAAGAAAAGGGGAAGGAUUUAGGGAAGUAGGAGGCUAAGGCCUGGGAGGGACUGGCUCCAUUAAUUUGCCAGAUGACUUUUUUCUUUGUGCCAGUUUGUUGCUUGAGUGUCUCAUGGAGUGUAUUGACUGGAUUACUGGUAAAUAAUAUUGGUUUCGGUCUGUUUCCAGAAGAACUGAUCUGUCUGUGUUUGUGAAUAUUGGUGAGUUGGAGUUGGUUUUGCAGGUCACUAACAGUAUAGAACAUAUGUUUCAUUCUGUUUUCUGUAAAGUACUCUUAUUUAGGAGGUACCGUUUGAUGUAAUUCCAAAUUAGAUCAACUUGAAUUUCAUGUCCCUCUUGCAAUGGUUCGGUGUGGCUGCAACCUUUUUGCUUUGAAGGGAAUUUUAGAUUCAUUAUUUCUAAGUGGUGAAAGAGUAAAGAAAAGGGAGAGUGAAAGAAGCGGAAUUACUGGUAUUCUUUUUAUCUUUGCAGUUGUAUAAUGUGAUAAUAUUCUCUUCCAAACAUGCUUGUAAUAUAGUGUUUUAAUUAUCGGAUAGCGAAUAUAACUCAAACAUA